UAUUCACAAAUCUUUCAAAUAAAUAUUUUCUCGAGGUCACUCAUUAGGUCACUCUAGUGUUUGUUUUGUUGUUGUAGCAUCAUAUAACAUUACUUUUUUAUAUAAAUAUGUCGUGGCAAUAGUUUUGAUUUGGGAUCUACGGAUGACUUCUGGAAUCGCACUCGUAUAAGCCAAAAGGAAGUGGUACCACUGCCAAAGUAGGAAUCAAAGUCAGGGUCUUUAUUAGCUUUGCGCGUGAGUACCUGAAAAUAUUGCAGCGCAUAUUGACUUUUGGGAAGAAAUUUCGGUAUAUUUAGUUUUAAGCUUCUUAACUUUGCAGCGUAUUGGUGAGCCCAAAGCUGGUGAAUGCUGAAGUUGAACAAGUAGAAUGGUAAAGUAAGAAUAUCAAGGAAGAAUGUGGAGUUGUCACUUAGUAAGUAUUUACAGUAGUGUUCGAGGAGACAUAAAAAGUAUGACAAAAGCGAAUUGUUUGCAGAAACUCAAAACUACGCAUUAAAAAAUUGUUCGUAUUAGUUACUUGAACACAAUAUCUCACAAUUUUUCAAUAAAAAUACUGUAAUAUUUAGUAAAUCAGUAGGUUAAUACGGACCAAAAAAUGAAAAUUAUUUUAAAUCGAAAAUUAAUAAACUUAAAUGUACUUUUCAAAUUGAUUCUUCAUACAUAAUAUGUAUAUCUACUUUCAGAAUGCCUUGCACAACCAAACACACAAUGAAUUAAUGAAAAUAUAUUAUAUAAUUUUUUUUUUAAUUAUACUUGUGUACAUUUUAUCUUCACUAAUAUAUACUUAAAACUUUUAUGUAAAAUCCAUUACAAUUUCACUAUGUAUAUACCAUACAUACAUAUGUAUAUGAAUAUAUUUGAGUACUUUUGAAAAUGAAAACUGAUAGUUUACAAUUUCGUGUUUCUUUCAGCGCAGACGCACACACGCCUUCAAGUGAUUAUACUUAUUUUGUUAUUUAUCACCUCCCUCCCACAUACAUACAUAGGAAAUAAUGUAUAGGCGCGUGUGUGUGCGUGCAGCGACAGUAGAUUUUUCAGUUUGUGCGCUGAGCAUAGGAUCAUCUGUAGUAAUACUCGAAAACGAAAGUAAAACCGAACAGAAAUGUAAUUUCGAAAAUAUGCAAAAAAAAUGUGAGACCACAUCUUUUUGAGUUCUUGCAAAUCAGAUGAUCCUGUAAGGAGUUAUUCUGCCAACGCGGGCGUAUCUUUUUUCCGAGGGUUCACUGGAAAUGGCGGCGCAAUGGCCGAGCUUAAAAUAUUUUUUCCAAAAAUUUCAGACUUUCUUUGUUAAUAGUGUAUGUUUGUAACAAUAAAAAAUUCUAAUAAAAUA